rnacentral:rRNA from 1 species
UACGUAGGGUGCAAGCGUUGUCCGGAAUUAUUGGGCGUAAAGAGCUUGUAGGCGGUUUGUCGCGUCUGCUGUGAAAUUUCGGGGCUCAACCCCGAACUUGCAGUGGGUACGGGCAGACUAGAGUGUGGUAGGGGAGACUGGAAUUCCUGGUGUAGCGGUGAAAUGCGUAGAGAUCCGGCGGAACACCGGUGGGGAAGGCGGUCUCCUAGGCCGAGGGCCGACGCUGAGGCGCGAGAGCGUGGGGAGCGAACCGG